rnacentral:lncRNA from 1 species
ACAACCGAAAUAUUUCGGGUACCCGAAUGUAUCCGAAAUAGAUUUAUAAUUCUAUAUACUAAUUAUUUUUUAAGAUUUUAUGUAUAUUCAAAAACAUCACAAAAAUAAAAUCUCCUAUCAAACCCACCCAAUUAAUUUAAUAAUUAACAGUUCCAAAUACUCAUGGUUGGUCCUAAUUCAAAUACUUAUUGCCAGGCAUACUUUAUUUUUAAAAUUUUCCAAAAAAUUAAAAACUACAAACUAUAUCUAUGUUCACUUCAUAGAAAUAAAAAUUAUAAAACAUAGGCAAUAUAAAAUAAUUCUCAUUCUUAUGCAGAACAUGCAGCCGA